GACGAACGCUGGCGGCGUGCUUAACACAUGCAAGUCGAACGGAAAGGCCUGCUUUCCCUUGUGGAUUGCGGGUACUCGAGUGGCGAACGGGUGAGUAACACGUGAGUGAUCUGCCCCCAACUUGGGUAUAAGCCUGGGAAACUGGGUCUAAUUCCCGAUAGGACUGCAGGGUGGUGCCUGUGGUGGAAAACGAUUUUCUAGUGGUUGGGGAUGAGCUCGCGGCCUAUCAGCUUGUUGGGGGGGUAAUGGCCUACCAAGGCGGCGACGGGUAGCCGGGCUGAGGUGGUGGCCGGCCACAUUGGGACUGAGCUGCGGCCCCGACUCCUACGGGAGGCAGCACUGGGGCAUCUUGCCCGAGGGGCGGAAGCCUGAUGCAGCGACGCCGCGUGGGGGAUGACGGCCUUCGGGUUGUAACCUCCUUUCGACCGCGAGGAAGCCACCUGGUUGGAAGGGUGGUGACGGUAGUGGUAGAAGAAGCACCGGCUAACUACGUG
rnacentral:rRNA from 1 species